UACGUAGGGGGCAAGCGUUGUCCGGAAUCAUUGGGCGUAAAGCGCGUGUAGGCGGCCAGGUAAGUCCGUUCUGAAAGCCCGGGGCUCAACCCCGGGAGGCGGAUGGAUACUGCUUGGCUCGAGUCCGGAAGAGGCGAGUGGAAUUCCCGGUGUAGCGGUGAAAUGCGUAGAUAUGCGGAGGAACACCGAUGGCGAAGGCAAUCCCCUGGACCUGUACUGACGCUCAUGCACGAAAGCGUGGGGAGCAAACAGG
rnacentral:rRNA from 1 species